rnacentral:rRNA from 1 species
UACGGAGGGGACUAGCGUUGUUCGGAAUUACUGGGCGUAAAGCGCACGUAGGCGGAUUGUUAGUCAGGGGUGAAAUCCCGGGGCUCAACCCCGGAACUGCCCUUGAAACUGCAGUGCUAGAAUUCUGGAGAGGAGAGUGGAAUUCCUGGUGUAGCGGUGAAAUGCGCAGAUAUCAGGAGGAACACCGAUGGCGAAGGCAGAUCUCUGGGCCGUAACUGACGCUGAGGAGCGAAAGCAUGGGGAGCGAACAGG